UACGUAGAAGACUAGUGUUAUUCAUCUUUAGUAGGUUUAAAGGGUACCUAGACGGUAAAAUUAAUCUUAAACAAGAUAUGUUUUUACUAGAGUUAUAUAUGAGGAGGUGAGUAUUUAUGGAGUAGAGUUGAAAUUUGUUGAUCCCAUAACGACUGGUAGCGGCGAAAGCAACCUUUUAUGUAAUAACUGACGUUGAGGGACGAAAGGCUCGGGUCACGAACAGG
rnacentral:rRNA from 1 species